rnacentral:rRNA from 1 species
UUGCACAGAAGCUUGCUUCUCUUGAGAGCGGCGGACGGGUGAGUAAAGCCUAGGAAUCUGCCUGGUAGUGGGGGAUAACGUUCGGAAACGGACGCUAAUACCGCAUACGUCCUACGGGAGAAAGCAGGGGACCUUCGGGCCUUGCGCUAUCAGAUGAGCCUAGGUCGGAUUAGCUAGUUGGUGAGGUAAUGGCUCACCAAGGCGACGAUCCGUAACUGGUCUGAGAGGAUGAUCAGUCACACUGGAACUGAGACACGGUCCAGACUCCUACGGGAGGCAGCAGUGGGGAAUAUUGGACAAUGGGCGAAAGCCUGAUCCAGCCAUGCCGCGUGUGUG